UGAGGAACAUGACCUUCGGCGGGGGAUAGCCGGCCCAACGGCCGGGUAAUACCGCGUACGACCACAUGGGGACAUCCCUGAGUGGUGAAAGCAGCAAUGCGCCGAUGGAGUGCCUCGCGGCCUAUCAGCUAGUUGGUGAGGUAACGGCUCACCAAGGCGGCGACGGGUAGCUGGUCUGAGAGGAUGGCCAGCCANAUUGGGACUGAGACACGGCCCAGACU
rnacentral:rRNA from 1 species